GAAGACAUUAAUAAACUGCUAUUAUUUCGUAAUAUAUUUUGUAAACAUUCAGUUAAUUAUAAAAGCUAUAUUUUAUUUAUUCUUUUCAAACUAGUAAAAGUAGUAAUGUCCCAUUUGUUAUAAUUUUUUUUGCAGACAUAUUACCGUUAUUCAAAACAGUAAAAGAACAAACAUAUAAUAAAAGGGACAGUUAGUACCCGUUGGAAUACCAAAUCAUAGUAUUUAUAUGACCAUAACGUACAGUAAUGUCCUCAGGCUAAUGAAACUGAACUAUGAUGACUUUAAACAUUCAUUUUCAUUUCAAGGCCAAUUAUUGUAUUUUUCGAAUUUUCUAACUAAAACGGGAAUUAAAACGACUGCAAUAGUUAUAGUUACACCAAAUUUAUCGAAAAACCAUUAACAAAACGUUCUGUUUGAUAAGUUUUUGUGGUAAUGUUGCAUUCAGUGUAGAUAAAUCAUAACUGCUCAGAGACUAAUUCUCCCUUUAAAGGUAGCAUUUUCAAGGCCUCUAAAAGAAAUUAAUAAAAUGCUUCGCUGGGGCGCAGCUUGAUACGACCGCAGAGGUCGAACCCUGAACAGUUGGGGCAAGUAUGGACACAACAUUCAAGCUUGAUACAGCUCUGAAUUUGGAUUGUUGUUAAAUAUUUGACACAGCAUAGGUUUCUGACACAGAAAAAAUGUGGUCUAAGAACUUGAAUUUUUUUAAUUUACCUAUUAUGGUCCAAUGUCCAAAAUCAAAAUACAUGGUUAGAUUCAGCAUUUCAAAGAACCCCAUAUAUUCAAUUUUUGUUAAAAUCAAACAAAGUUUAAUUUUGGACCCACACUUGGACAAACUUGAAAACUGGGCCCAUAAUCAAAAAUCUAAACACAUGUUUAGAUUCAGCAUAUCAAAGAACCCCAAGAAUUCAAUUUUUGUUAAAAUCAAACUAAGUUUAAUUUUGGACCCUUUGGACCUUAAUGUAGACCAAUUUAAAAAAUGGGACUUAAAAUUAAAAAUCUAAAUACACAGUUAGAUUUGGAAUAUCAAAGACCCCAAUAAUUCAAUUUUUGAUGAAAUCAAACAAAGUUUAAUUUUGGACCCUUUUGACCUCAAUAUGAACCAAUUUGAUAGCGGGGCCCACAAAUAAAAAAUCUAAAUUCAUGGUUAGAUUCAGCAUAUCAAAGAACCCCAUAUAUUCAAUUUUUGUUGAAAUCAAAAAAAGUUUUAUUUUGGACCCCAACUUGGACCAACUUGAAAACUGGGCCCAUAAUCAAUAAAAUGCUCCGCAGGGCGCAGCUUGAUACGACCGCAGAGGUCGAACCCUGAACAGUUGGGGCAAGUAUGGACACAACAUUCAAGCUUGAUACAGCUUUGGAUUUGGAUUGUGAUUAAAUAUUUGACACAGCAUAGGUUUCUGACACAGAAAGAAUGUGGUCUAAGAACUUGAAUUUUUUUAAUUUACCUAUUAUGGUCCAAUGUCCAAAAUCAAAAUACAUGGUUAGAUUCAGCAUAUCAAAGAACCCCAUAUAUUCAAUUUUUGUUAAAAUCAAACAAAGUUUAAUUUUGGACCCCAACUUGGACAAACUUGAAAACUGGGCCCAUAAUCAAAAAUCUAAACAUAUGUUUAGAUUCAGCGUAUAUAAGAACCCCAAGAAAUCAAUUUUUGCUAAAAUCAAACUUAGUUUAAUUUUGGACCCUUUAGACCUUAAUGUAGACCAAUUCAAAAUUAAAAAUCUAAAUACACGGUUAGAUUUGGAAUAUCAAAGAACCCCAAUAAUUCAAUUUUUGAUGAAAUCAAACAAAGUUUAAUUUUGGACCCUUUUGACCUCAAUAUGAACCAAUUUGAUAGCGGGGCCCACAAAUAAAAAAUCUAAAUUCAUGGUUAGAUUCAGCAUAUCAAAGAACCCCAUAUAUUCAAUUUUUGUUGAAAUCAAAAAAAGUUUAAUUUUGGACCCCAACUUGGACCAACUUGAAAACUGGACCUAUAAUCAAAAAUCUAAACACAUGUUUAGAUUCAGCAUAUCAAAGAACCCAAAGAAUUCAAUUUUUGUUAAAAUCAAACUAAGUUUAAUUUUGGACCCUUUGGACCUCAAUGAAGACCAAUUUAAAAAACGGGACCCAAAUUAAACAUCUAAAAACACGGUUAGAUUUGGCAUAUCAAAGAACCCCAAUAAUUCAAUUUUUGAUGAAAUCAAACAAAGUUUAAUUUUGGACCCUUUUGACCUCAAUAUGAACAAAUUUGAUAGCGGGGCCUACAAAUAAAAAAUCUAAAUACAUGGUUAGAUUCAGCAUAUCAAAGAACCUCAUAUGUUCAAUUUUUUUUGAAAUCAAACAAAGUUUAAUUUUGGACCCCAAGUUGGACCAACUUGAAAACUGGGCCCAUAAUCAAAAAUCUAAAUACAUGUUUAGAUUCAGCAUAACAAAGAACCCCAUAUAUUCAAUUUUUGUUGAAAUCAAACAAAGUUUAAAUACUGGACCCUAUCUUGGACCAACUUGAAAACUGGGCCCAUAAUCAAAAAUCUAAACACAUGUUUAGAUUCAGCAUAUCAAAGAACCCCAAGAAUUCAAUUUUUGUUAAAAUCAAACUAAGUUUAAUUUUGGACCCUUUGGACCUUAAUGUAGACCAAUUUAAAAAACAGGACCCAAAAUUAAAAAUCUAAAUACACGGUUAGAUUUGGAAUAUCAAAGAGCCCCAAUAAUUAAAUUUUAGAUGAAAUCAAACAAAGUUUAAUUUUGGACCCUUUUGACCUCAAUAUGAACCAAUUUGAUAACGGGGUCCACAAAUAAAAAAUCUAAAUACAUGGUUAGAUUCAGCAUAUCAAAGAACCCCAUAUAUUCAAUUUUUGUUGAAAUCAAACAAAGUUUAAUUUUGGACCCCAAUUUGGACCAACUUGAAAACUGG